AGAUGAGUCAUGAAGCACCUCUCCUAAGAGAACAGGCUGAAAGAAUUUGGAUUGCUCAGCCUGGAGAAGAGAAAACUUUAGGAUGACCUAACUAUGGCCUUCCUGCACCUGAAAGGAACUUAGAAGAAAGAUGGAAAGAGAUUGUUUACAAGAGCAUCUAGUGACAGGACAAGGGGGAGCAACUUAAAACUGAGAGCAGAUUUAGAUUAGAUAUUAGGAAGAAAUUCUUUUCUGUGAGAGGCUUGGCACAGAUUUCCCAGAGAAAUUGUGGUUGCCCCAUCCCUAGAAGUGUUUAUGGACAUGCUGGAUGGAGUUUUGACCAACCUAUUCUAAUGGAAGUUGUUGCAGGGUGUUUGGAAAUAGAUGAUCUUUAAGGUCCCUUCCAACCCAAGACAUCCUGAUUAUAUGAAACUCAGAUGUGAAAGGUUGAUAUUUAAUUUCUAGAUGCUUUUUGGGGCAGCAUUGUUUAUUUAUGUGUAGUUUAAAUAAGGCGAUAUGAGCAAUAGUAAAUUUUCUAGGCUUCAACAUCUAUUAUUAAAUCCAAUGUUUAGCCUAUUUAUUUUAUAAAAUAGGUCCACCCAAUUGGUCUUUAACUGGUCCUCUGAGCAGUGACUGGGAAUGCAUAACGAAUUAAUUUGUCAUUCUAUCCACGCUUAACAGAAAGAAGUUAGACCUUGUCAAUAUUAACAGGAUGUUCCUUGUUGAAUCUCAGAGAUAUUGCUGGAAAUGGGCAUGAUCCUGCAAAGAUGAAAAAAAGCAAAACAGGACACAAGAGAAAAGGAGGUGGAGGUACUUUACAGGGAAAAGAAUGGGAAUUGAGAUAGGACAAUAGACUAUGUACAGAGGCUCGUUUGUAUACAGAAAUAUAAUAUUUGAUCCUACUGGAGCAUCCCAGAGUAAAGAAGUGAUUCUCUUGCAGGACCCUGCAGCAUUCCUGACUGCUGGGAAUACUUCAGUGCUGGUGCUACUGGCAAGAACUUGAGGCAAAGAAGGCACGUCAGUUUUCUUGUGGUUAUAGCUUCCUACUAGAGAGCCUGAAAAACUGUCUGGUGGCAGUCCUUCAAAGCCUGCUAGCUUCCUAAGGCUGUGAGCAGACAUAAUUUGUUGACAGCUCCAAAGGGCCACCCUUCUCUGCUCUCUGCAGGCCAAACUAAUUUUUGAAUAAUUUCUUGUUACACGGCUAGGAGUAUGACACCACUUCACUGUUUGAACAAUCAUUCUAAAGACUGAGAAGACGCUAUGGCUAGCUAUCUCAAUGUGCAAGC
rnacentral:lncRNA from 1 species